GACAAAGGAGCUGUUUGUCUUGGAA
rnacentral:piRNA from 1 species